UUGCCUCAGUAACGGCGAGUGAAGCGGCAAUAGCUCAAAUUUGAAAUCUGGCUCUUUCAGAGUCCGAGUUGUAAUUUGUAGAGGAUGCUUCGGCUUACGUCUCGGUCUAAGUUCCUUGGAACAGGACGUCACAGAGGGUGAGAAUCCCGUUUGUGGCCGUGACUUCCGCCAUGUGAAGCUCCUUCGACGAGUCGAGUUGUUUGGGAAUGCAGCUCUAAAUGGGAGGUAUAUUUCUUCUAAAGCUAAAUACCGGCCAGAGACCGAUAGCGCACAAGUAGAGUGAUCGAAAGAUGAAAAGCACUUUGGAAAGAGAGUUAAAAAGUACGUGAAAUUGUUGAAAGGGAAGCGCUUGCGACCAGACUUGCCCGCGGAUGCUCAACCGGCCCUUCGGCCGGUGCACUCUUCCGCGGUCAGGCCAGCAUCAGUUCGAGCGGUCGGAUAAAGGCCUUGGGAAUGUGGCUCUCUUUGGGGAGUGUUAUAGCCCUUGGUGCAAUACGGCCCGCCUGGACUGAGGCCCGCGCUUCGGCUAGGAUGCUGGCGUAAUGGUCGUAAGCGGCCCGUCUUGAAACACGGACCAAGGAGUCUAACAUCUAUGCGAGUGUUUGGGUGUCAAACCCGUGCGCGAAAUGAAAGUGAACGGAGGUGGGAACCUUAGGGUGCACCAUCGACCGAUCCUGAUGUCUUCGGAUGGAUUUGAGUAAGAGCAUAGCUGUUGGGACCCGAAAGAUGGUGAACUAUGCCUGAAUAGGGUGAAGCCAGAGGAAACUCUGGUGGAGGCUCGCAGCGGUUCUGACGUGCAAAUCGAUCGUCAAAUUUGGGUAUAGGGGCGAAAGACUAAUCGAACCAUCUAGUA
rnacentral:rRNA from 1 species